rnacentral:rRNA from 1 species
AGCGAACGCUGGCGGCAGGCUUAACACAUGCAAGUCGAGCGGGCACUUUCGGGUGUCAGCGGCGGACGGGUGAGUAACGCGUGGGAACGUGCCCUCUGGUUCGGAAUAACUCAGGGAAACUUGAGCUAAUACCGGAUACGCCCUUUUGGGGAAAGGCUUGCUGCCGGAGGAUCGGCCCGCGUCUGAUUAGCUAGUUGGUGAGGUAACGGCUCACCAAGGCGACGAUCAGUAGCUGGUCUGAGAGGAUGAUCAGCCACACUGGGACUGAGACACGGCCCAGACUCCUACGGGAGGCAGCAGUGGGGAAUAUUGGACAAUGGGCGCAAGCCUGAUCCAGCCAUGCCGCGUGAGUGAUGAAGGCCUUGGGGUUGUAAAGCUCUUUUAUCCGGGACGAUAAUGACGGUACCGGAGGAAUAAGCCCCGGCUAACUUCGUG